GUAUGAAUCAAAACCCACCUCAAAAUUCUAUUGACAAAUGGAAGUCUUUUCAAGGUGUGUAUUUUCCUUACCUGAGUUAAAGAUUCAUGGGGCCAUCUUUGUCAGGUGGGCUCGGCUCCCAUCGAUAGAAAUAGUGGUAGUUUUGCAAGUCGGCUAUUUGGUUGGGGAUUGGGUUGCGUAAAAAUUUCUGGCUGCGAACGGGUCUGACAGAUGGAAAGUGAAACGUGGCAGAUAGUGCGUGGCAGCUGGGCAUGAAUUGGGGUUUGAGUUUAGAUUUUUGCUAGCUUUUCUCCUCUGUCUUCUACAGGGAUAGAUAGAUUCAUACGUUACUUCACUACUGCUUACAGUUCGUUGAACGACAACGUCAGUCAUUCUUGGGAUUUUGCCUUCUUUGUUGCUCUAAAUGGGUAAUAAUAUAAUUAAUGUCAUUA